ensembl:lncRNA
UCUAGAGCUCAUUCAGAAUUUCCAGCAGCAGUUUUCUAUUUCAUUAAGUAAUGAGAAGACACAAACGGUUACUUUGGUGUGAGAUGUUCUGUGCUUUCCUUUGCAGGAAAAAAAAAAAAAGAAAAGAAAAAAGUAGUGAAAUCUGAGAAACAUAAAUGAUUGAUAGCAUCUCAGGCUGAAGACUGCUGAAACGUGUCGAUGACAGCAGGUCGGAAAUGAGCGGCUUGUGAGAAAGAUGAGAGCACCAUGUUUGGAGAUGUGAGCAUCACCUGUGCGGACCUGGCGCUGAAAACAAUCAUCAUACCAAAUGACAGAACAAUUAGCGUUGCCAGCAGAGAAAAUAGUAAGUGAACCAACCAAAGGCCAGUGUGUUUAUUUUCCCACUCAGAGACAUCGUCUUCCCAGGUGGGGACUCUGAAAACAUUCCUGCUGAAGCUGACACGGUUUUUACUUCAGUGAGGGACUGGUCUGUUCCAAGCAGGAAAUUAACCCAAACUUUAAGAGAAAGCAACACAAGCUGUACGUGGAGCGUGGGGACGUGCCACUGUACCAAUGUCCCCACACAGAGGCUAUUCUCUCUCUUUUGAGACUGUUUACUUUUCCUAACCGUUCUUUUUCCAGGCUGAACAUACAAAGCUGAUAAAACAGAGUGUCUGUAACGUUAGAAAAACUGCACGCUCUCAUAUUCUGCAAGAGGAGACUUACAAAUAGCACCACUCAACCAUUUAACCAAACUGCAAAAUGAACUCAGAGUCAUUACGCUAUCUAAACAUCCUCUCUAACUUGUCUGCAGUUUCCAAAUGCUGCUUUGGAUAAACUUAGUACUGCAAGUAAC